UACAGAGGGUGCGAGCGUUAAUCGGAGUUCUGGGCGUAAAGGGCGCGUAGGCGGUUAUAUAAGUGAGAUGUGAAAUCCCUGGGCUUAACCUAGGAACUGCAUCUCAUACUGUAUGACUGGAGUAUUGUAGAGGGUAGUGGAAUUUCCGGUGUAGCGGUGAAAUGCGUAGAGAUCGGAAGGAACACCAGUGGCGAAGGCGGCUACCUGGACAAAUACUGACGCUGAGGCGCGAGAGCGUGGGGAGCAAACGAGGA
rnacentral:rRNA from 1 species